rnacentral:rRNA from 1 species
GAUGAACGCUGGCGGCGUGCCUAACACAUGCAAGUCGAGCGAUUUACUUCGGUAAAGAGAACGGCGGACGGGUGAGUAACGCGUGGGUAACCUGCCCUGUACACACGGAUAACAUACCGAGAGGUAUGCUAAUACGAGAUAAUAUACUUUUAUCGCAUGGUAGAAGUAUCAAAGCUUUUGCGGUACAGGAUGGACCCGCGUCUGAUUAGCUAGUUGGUAAGGUAACGGCUUACCAAGGCGACGAUCAGUAGCCGACCUGAGAGGGUGAUCGGCCACAUUGGAACUGAGACACGGUCCAAACUCCUACGGGAGCAGCAGAGGGGAAUAUUGCACAAAUGGGCGAAAGCCUGAUGCAGCAACGCCGCGUGAGCGAUGAA